AUGAACAACACGAGGGACACAAGAUUUAUACUGGUUCAGGCCACCAUUGUGGUAACCUAUUGCCCUUUUAUUAUCAAACCUUUGGGAGUUACUUCUACGUUAUGCUCAAGAUUGCUAUGCUAUGCUCAUAGACGUGGAUUGGGUGAGUGUAUCCAUGACAGAUGUGAGUAUUGUUAA
rnacentral:rRNA from 1 species